AAUUGAAGUUCAAUUAUUGGCUUCCGGGCACUUCGGUAUACUCAUAAAGCUUAGUAAAAGAUGUUCUGGAGAAGACAAGUUAGUUAGAUGAAGGCUAGGCGUUCUAGGACUCUCUAGCUAGCUAGUAUAGCUAUGUAGCUGGAUUGCUUGGCACCUAGGAAGGAUCUUCGAAGAAAUAAAGAGACAAAGACUCCCGUCGCUCAAAUGGUGGUGGUAAGUGUCGGAGGCCUGAGAAACGCUAGUCUAUUGGCUAGGAUGUUGUUAUGGAGUGUUUAUGAGGACAAGUGGCACGGGAUACGUACAUCUAAAGAAACAAGAGUGGAUCUACGCCAAGCUAGCUAGCUAGCUAGCUGCUCUUUCUAAUCUAUUUCUGUUGCUAAAUUAUGUUUGUUAAGAAGUGGAGCUAUAAUAUACCUGGCUCCUCUUGAUGAUUGUAAGUACUGGGCUGAUGAAAUAGUCCUGUACAAGUUGUCAUCUUUUAUUUGUUAAAAAUAAUUAACAAUAAUAGGGAAAUUCCCAGGGAAUUUCCCCUCACGUAGACAGUAAAUUUCAUUGUAAAAAAUGAACGUUCGGUGAGUUUC